UUGGAAACCCAGCGAUUUACAAUAAUUUUCUUUUCUUUUUAUAAAAAUGACAAAAACACUUCAACCAUUUUUUUUAAAGCGGCCCCCAACAGUUAUAAAGUCAAUAGACGGUGAUUUUCUUAACAGUUUGGAAACCCAGCGAUUUACAAUAAUUUUCUUUUCUUUUUAUAAAAAUGACAAAAACACUUCAACCAUUUUUUUUAAAGCGGCCUAUUUCCUAAUUUUCGAAAAAUCGUUUAAAUUUCUAAAUUUUCUUUAAAAUCAGCAUUGACCGAAUUUUGCAGCAUCUAAACUCAAUGACUUAAUUAUUUUUAAAAGUUUAAUUUUACCAUUCAUAUAGAAAGUUAGAAAUCUGUCCCUUAAGUCCUUUUUUUUAGUAAUGGAUUUGAUAUUAUCCGCACCGACUUCCAUAAAGUUUUUAAUAUUCCAGUUAACCGCAAUCUGACAACGAAAUAAGACAGAGAAGAAGCAAAUCAGCUGCUCAAUCCUUUUCUUUCAGGAAUAUGCUGACAGUCAUGGUACUGCUCUUCUUGAGGCUUUGCAAUGCUAAGUGAUGGUCCUGGUCCACUUGCAGAUUUAUUGUCCUGUUCUUGAAUUAUGAUGUAACAGGUAGGGUCAGGUGAAAUUCUGCGUAUUCUGGCCACCAUGUAACUGAGUACGCACUGUUGGGACAAUUUCCUGCUUCAAACAUGUUGCAAAAUGACAGCUUGGAAGAAACGAAGAGGUAGUUUCACCCCUGGUUGACCUAUUACGUUGUAUCAUUGGGUCUGAGUGAGUAGACCCACACUGCAAUGUGAAUUCAUGCUGGAUUUGUUGUUAUGGUCAUCUUUGUCACUAAACUUAUUGACUCUCAAUUGUUUUACUAACUUUACCAAAGGUGGGUCUGUAGUUUCUCUCUUUGUUAAACAGGGUAUUCUUGCAUUCAAACUGUGGAGAAUCAGUCAUAUAGAUAGUGUCAAACAAGCAGAGCUUGUGGUGAAUCAGCACCGUUUGCUUGGGUGUCAGUAAUGUUGAUAUGUUGAUUCUGCACAAUGAUUGAUCCUCGACUAAUCGAAAUGUGUUAUGCCCUUGUGAUCCUUUGGUUCUUCUGUGGAUCACAGAAGCUGGUGAAUUGCUGCCACACACUUGCAUGUUCAGGCCAUGUGGAUUGCACAAAUGAGCAAAGACAAAGGUAUUCACCAACACAGCGUCUAUUCUGGCACACCAAGAACAAGCACUUCUGCUGAGUAUUUUGUCUCUCUUCAUUGUGCCUGUUCAUCAGCAAAAUAACCCUCCUGCCCCCGGUUUGCAAUUGUGAUUUUCUCUGUAUCUCGUGGCGCAUAUUUUUUACACGCAUUGUGUAGGGACUGGGAAGGAUGUGAUACGCCCAUUAAGCAAGACAAAGGUUGUGUAAAUGGAGUUAAUGGUUUCAAUUUCUUUUGUUUAAAAUAAGUAAAUAAAACCUUAGUUGUGUUGUUUGAUUCCCAUGAUUUCAAUCCUGGCCAGGAGCAAAUAAAGUUGAGGGGAUUAAGUAAUUGAGUAUUUAAGUUUCGGCUGAUAUGCUCAAUAACUUUCCUAUUUAAGUUCAAAUCAAACAUCAUUCUUUCGUGACUAGUGACACUUUAUCUCACAAGUAGGAAAACAAGAAUUUCAUACCUUGCCUACAUUUCUGCUUUGCAUUCUGCUCCUGCCCCCCUCGUGAACCAAUUCAUCUGUCUGUCCAAAAAGAAAUGAAAAUUUCGUGCUACUGAAACUUUGAUUAAUAUCUUAAUGUAGCAAUGGAAUUAGUUGUGAUAUGUGAGAUCUUAUGGCAUCUACGCUAUUUAUUCUGUGGAAAAAAGGUGCGAAGAUGAAGAUGACUGCAUAAACCUUGUACUUCUAUUAAGUUAGGAGUUAAGUUCUUUCAUUGGGUUAUAGUUUGAGCAUUGAUGAAACAAUCAUUCUUCCUUCCAAGUUUUCACCAUUAGUAUAAAUACCUGAUGCACUGCGUUAUCACUUAUCAUAUUUUCUGAUGUGAUAAAACUUUCUUCUCAUGUCACAAUUCAGGAGUGAUUGAACGUACUGUUCUUGGAUAAUUCUGACUUAUUGUCAAGUUUCAUAAUCUUACCCACUACCUUGAUGAUUAUAAGUUGUAUUCCUCGUCUUGUAGUUAUCUUUAUUGUUUUAGAAUGAUUUCUCAAGUCCAUAAACCAAGUGGUCCCAUUUUUUAAGAUGAUUUUUAUCAUGACAACUGGUAGGUCUUUUCUAAAUCUAGUAUUCCUUGUUUGUUUCACCUUAACAUUUUGUAACUUACAGCUGGGAUGUGGAAAAAAUGGAUGUGCCAUGGCUAUGGAGGAUCAACAAUUACAGUCACCUUGUGGGACUCCGCUGGUUUCUAGAGCAAUGGGAGAGAUAAUAUGAGUUGAAAGCAAAUAUGAAGUAAAAGGUCAAGCUUUUUCCCAGAGAUUCCUCUCCCUAUCUGAUGGUUGGAUGAUAAAAGUUUUGAAAGGGUCAGUCAUCAGUUUCAGUAUGUUUUACAUAUAUAUGUGUGAAAGGUCGGAUAAUGGGUGUGGUUCCCAAGUGAUGAGAUUGGUGGUGGGUGAGGUGAAAGCAGAACAAAUAGGAAGGAGACGAUCCAGUGAGCAGUGAUCCAUAACAUGUUUUAACUUUUGCCAUUUGUAUUCUUUGUUAGAAUAAGAAAAUAAUUGGGACCGGAACAUGACCUUGUACGUUGGACAAGGCAACUCCUUUCAGUUCAACAAUAUCUCAUUUGUCAUUAUUUGUAUGGCUACGUUCGUUUUACUGUCAUAUAUUUUCAUUUUGCUAUAUUGGUGAAAA